GAUGAACGCUGGCGGCGUGCCUAAUACAUGCAAGUCGAACGAAACUUCUUUAUCACCGAGUGCUUGCACUCACCGAUAAAGAGUUGAGUGGCGAACGGGUGAGUAACACGUGGGCAACCUGCCCAAAAGAGGGGGAUAACACUUGGAAACAGGUGCUAAUACCGCAUAACCAUAGUUACCGCAUGGUAACUAUGUAAAAGGUGGCUAUACUACCGCUUUUGGAUGGGCCCGCGGCGCAUUAGCUAGUUGGUAGGGUAAAGGCUUACCAAGGCAAUGAUGCGUAGCCGAAUUGAGAGGUUGAUCGGCCACAUUGGGACUGAGACACGGCCCAAACUCCUACGGGAGGCAGCAGUAGGGAAUCUUCCACAAUGGGCGAAAGCCUGAUGGAGCAACGCCGCGUGGGUGAAGAAGGUCUUCGGAUCGUAAAACCCUGUUGUUAGAGAAGAAAGUGCGUGAGAGUAACUGUUCUCGUUUCGACGGUAUCUAACCAGAAAGCCACGGCUAACUACGUG
rnacentral:rRNA from 1 species